UACGUAGGGCGCAAGCGUUGCCCGGAAUUAUUGGGCGUAAAGAGCUCGUAGGCGGUUUGUCGCGUCUGCUGUGAAAACUCGAGGCUCAACCUCGGGCUUGCAGUGGGUACGGGCAGACUAGAGUGCGGUAGGGGUGACUGGAAUUCCUGGUGUAGCGGUGGAAUGCGCAGAUAUCAGGAGGAACACCGGUGGCGAAGGCGGCGUUCUGGACUGCAACUGACACUGAAAAACGAAAGCCAGGGGAGCAAACGGG
rnacentral:rRNA from 1 species